AUACGUAGGGGGCGAGCGUUGUCCGGAAUUACUGGGCGUAAAGGGUGCGUAGGCGGCCAUAUAAGUCAGGUGUGAAAAACCACGGCUUAACCGAGGUAUUGCACAUGAAACUGUAUGGCUUGAGUACAGGAGAGGAAAGUGGAAUUCCUAGUGUAGCGGUGAAAUGCGUAGAGAUUAGGAAGAACACCAGUGGCGAAGGCGGCUUUCUGGACUGUAACUGACGCUGAGGCACGAAAGCGUGGGGAGCAAACAGGAUUAGAUACCCUGGUAGUCCACGCUGUAAACGAUGGAUACUAGGUGUAGGGGUUUAAAGACUUCGGUGCCGCAGUUAACGCAUUAAGCACUCCACCUGGGGAGUACGGCCGCAAGGCUGAA
rnacentral:rRNA from 1 species